rnacentral:snoRNA from 1 species
UGCAGCCUUGUCAAAUUCGGUGUUUCCUCCUCAGUGGACGGCACUGGCCAAAAUGGCUGCAACAGUGAAUUUGUAGUCCAUGGGCCCCAUAUUCCUGUAUAGUGGGGUACUGGGGAUAGAAGGGCUAUGUACAAAU